GAAGGCAUGGCGAGUGCGCAUACCCUCUCUCCACCAUGAUGCCCUCUUCUUUCGAGUUCAUCACUUGGGUGGUUUUGUAUCCAGGGGUAACCACGGCCCUCUGCGUGUUCUGUGGAAGCAGCCACAGCCCCGGUAAGGGUGACUAGCCGCCCCCGAGCGCGUUCCUGGAAGGCGGACCCCAGAAGGGGGGCAGAGGUUGACGGUUAAUUCCGUGUCUUGAUUACCUGCAGCAUUUUUUCUGUACUUUUAAAAUAAAAAUAGCGUUUUUCUGCUUAUAACAAAAAUACUCUUUGUAAACAGUUCCAACAAGUGAGAUUGGAAAGUGGGAAUUCGUAGCCCUUCCUCUGCACUGACAGUCAUGGUUCUGGGGCCAAAGCGGGCUCACUAUGAGAGGUGGGGGUGCCCGCGAAGGCCACCGCAUGUGGGUCCCUUGUGGGUCUGAUGGCAGUACUGCUGCGGGCCUCUGCUCUUCCCUCCAGCAUGUCUGACCUGCAUGUGUCUGACCUUUGGUCCCGGUACAUGUGUGUUUGGACCAAGACUUAGUCUGUGCCCAGCGCUCACCUCUGUGGGCAGCAAGGGGAGACAGCAGGGGCUGGGGCUGCAGGGGACAACAGCAUCUGCAGAGUUCUGCUUCCCCUCUAAUUCCGUCUGGGGCUCCUGAUGCUGGACAAGGACACAUCAACACAAGUGCCCAGGAUUGUCCACAGGUUCCGGAUUCUGCUUGACGGGUCAUCUGGCGCUGCUGACCCAGGUGGUUGGGGUGGAGUUGGGGGAGUAUCUAGGGUGACUGGACCCCCUGCCCUUUCAGACAGUAGUGCCUGACUCGGAGGGGGUUCACUUGUGUUGAGUCCAGAGAAUUCAGAGCUUGGGAAAGCCCGCUCCAGGUACAGAUGCCACACCUGUGGGAAGCAGAAAGUCCUGCCUGCCCAGGAGCCCUGUCUCAGGUUUGUGAGGACCUUUCACAACCCCGAGUUACCCAGCAGGGGAGGACUGUCCACUGCGGAUAGUGAGAGAUAGUAAAGGAGAGGCCAGCCUUUUGGUGAAAGGUGGAAUGUCUAUGUCCCUCUUUCCUUAGGUGCCAGCGACUCUGCCCCUUCAUCCUGUUCUCCUCUUGGGGACCCCACUUUCUGUCCAGAAGGAAGCCAGCAAGGCAGCUGGCUGAGCCUGUCCAGACCCAGCCAGCAGGUCAGUCUGCCCUGCGGACGCUGCCUCCACGGAACGGUGGGGAAGUACACGGUCACCUCCUGAGAGCCUGCGGAAGACCCCUGCCCUCCUCUUGGAUGACUCGGCCUGCGAGACGUGGUCAGCAAGACUGAGAGUUUCUGCCGCUGUGCGCCAACACUCCUUGCGGCUGUACUUGUAUGUGUCCCUGGAACUUGGGGGCUCUUUGGAGCUGUCGUUUACGUGGAACUUGUGAGCCAUUUUGAACCGCUUAAAGGAGUAGACGCUGCUAGCAAUGAGCUCCCAAAGCCAUCCAGGAACGCCUUCCGAAGAGCCCGGCGCGGCUCCCGUCUGCUGCGGCGGCCCGCCAGGCGUUCUCGGAGCGCCCGGCGCGAGAACAUUUGCAGCUCUUGAACCGUCACCAUCCCGGUCCCCCAUGCUGUCAUUAUCUGCGAUCUCAAUCAGUCAAGGUUUGUUCUGGAAAUGAUGGAGACAUAAUGACUUCUUUUUCAACCUACUUUUUUUUUCCUUUUUUUUAAUCCUCAAAUUGUGUUUUGUCUUUUAAAAAUCACGAAUACUCAGUCGUUACGAAAAGCUUGGAAAAUUCACUGUCAAUGGAGCAUUGAUGGUUUGUUUUGGCAAUUCUCUGAAAAUUCUUAUACAGUAUGUGGAACAUUUGCAUUUAUGUCCUUUUUUUCAAAGCCACCAUUGUAGAAAUGCAAAUUUCUGAGUUCUGAGAUGCUGAAUGUUGGAUGAUUAAUGAUAUUGAAAUUUAAGAAUGAACUUGCGGUGUAUAUUUGACAUAGAAAACCCAGUGCGAGAAUGAUUAGAAGCCAUUGAGCACAGUGUGGCAGUGGAACAGAAAGGCCUUCAUGGAUGCGCCUGGCGGCGGGGGGCAGGUCUGGCGCGGACAGGUGCGGAGAUGUGCGGCCACCUCCAGACGUCAGGCUGGGCUCUGCUUAACUGUAGACGUUGAAAACUUGUAAUAGUGACAAAUCCAUGUUGGUUUCUUGAGUGCUCCAAGCCAAGAGGCGCCGUACUCUCAGGAUGCCAGAGUGAACAGCAUGUCCAUUCUGAGUCAUGGUUUGCACCUGUCGCAUUUGGGUUGCAUGAUGACCCUGUGAAGCGGGCUAGUGCACCAUGAUUCCUGUUUUGUAGAUGAGGAAACCGGUGUUGACUGCUGCCGGGUGUGUAGCUUCAUGUCAGGCGGCUAAUUGGAGGCCAGCCUGGAACAAGAAUUGGUUCCCUGCCCUUGGGGGGGGGGUAUGCCCUGUGCUGGCAGACGCUGGGUGCACUGGACUGUGUCCGAAGGUGAUCCAGCUGACCUGCAUGGAGCUUCCAGGCCCUGUAGUGUGGUUCAUGGGAUGAGAGGAGGUGGGCGGGGGCAUGCCCCACCCCUCGAAGGGAUGUGUGAGGUCAGGACUGGGGAGCCAGAUCAGAAAGCAGGGCAGGAGCUCACUUGCCCAGGUGGGGCACUGGGGGCUGGGCCCAGGGGCCUGGAGGUGGGAGCUUGGCGUGGCGGAGAGGGAGACAACAAGCAGAGAGGUAGGUGUGGGGUACUGGCUCUGGGGUAGGACGGGUGACAUGUUUCUAAUUCCCUUGGUUCCAAGACCCUGUAGGUGCUGAGAAGGGGUUGUGGGCCUGAGUCUCCUGCCCCUUCGUGCUGUGCCCUCCCCUGGGACACACGCUUGGUGUUCCGUUGUUUUAAAUGAGCGUUGUUUUCCGUGGUUGCUUUGGUGCCGCUUGCCAUGUGACUUGGGAAUAUUCCUGGACUUACUCUGAACUUCUCUUUGCCAAUUCUUGGACUGGAAGCUGACUGGGUGAUUGGCAGACCUGGUUAAUUUGGGAGAUUUGAGUUCAAACUUCUCAUUUUGUUUCUACUUAAGAGUCUUUUAUUUGCUUAUUUCAUGAGAACAUGAUAAAAGGUAGUCGCUUUUAGGAAAAUAACGGUUAAGAAAAAAUUAAAUCUAAAAAUCAAACUUUUAGGAGCAUAUCUGGCUUUGUGUUUUUAAAUCGGUUUGCUCUUAGCCACUUAAUCAGUAAGAUACUGGGCAUAUUGGCUUUUAAGGAGUGAUAAGCAGUGUAUGAUGAAAAGAAGCCUUAUGUUCCAUAUUGGCCCCUCCUUUCAUUCCCCUUUCUAGAACACAAAUAGGAAAGAUAAAUUAUGCCUCUCGCGGAUUGAGGGCACCGGCUGAUGGGAGCUUGGUCCUGGGGCGAGCAGCCCACGCAGGGCGGGGAGCGAGGUGGCUGCUCCCCAGGAGGGCUGCACUGGGUUUGAGGCUUGGGUCAUCUUUUAGGGUCGUAAACCCAGAUGUUCUAGGGUGGCCUUUGCCCUGUUGGACUUCAGGCUCCCUGUCACCCUUGGUCCUUAUCACCCCCUCCUCCGCCCAGUGUUCCUGCUGCUGUCCCUUGAGUGCGAUGAUCCUGACUUGGAACAUUCCAUGCUGAAAUGCAACUUCAGAGCUUUGGGGAUUUUAAUGCGAAAACCAACGUGUCAUGUUACAACCAUUUCCUCACUUUUGCUAAUACCGCUUCCUUUUGAAAGGUAGUAGGUGAGGCUUGCUGCAAAGUGAUACGAUUUUUAAAAUAAAAUACAUAGUUGUCUUAUAUUAACUUGUUCCAUUUCAGAUAGCAUUUGUAAAGAAGUAUGGAAGUUUCGUUUAAGCCCCUUGAUGUUAAGUAUGUGUUCGUCUCUAAUGGGGGAGUGUUUUCGCACAGAACUACCUUCCACAGCCCAGAGGAGCUCCUCCUCUCAGUGCCCACUGUCCAUGUGUUGAGGAUUCCUUGUCCUUGGUGAGCCUUUCCCGGGGAACUUUUGCGGUUGGUGGCAGUUGUUCACUUUUUACAAUCUUUAACUCUUAGGCUGUGUUUUAGAAGGUCACUCCUUAAGACCUGGUUGUUGAGGGCUAAAGCCAAGAGGAAACCUUGCAUUUUAAGAGCUGAAGAUUCUAUUGUGAUUUGUUUGCAUUUGUGGCCAAAGUUUAUUCCUUUCAAAAUGUAUACGAAUUUUCCUAGGAAAUCCUUUGUAGAAAUUGGCCUUUUAUUAUAACUGUGUUUCUUAUCGACUUGUUGGUUCAGUGGGAUCUGUGAAAUGCUGUUGGAGUUCCAGAGAAUUCCAUGGGUCUGCUGUCAGCUCACGGAGGUUUUCUAGACGCUGUAUGAAGAGCCCUUUCUAACCCACUCACACCUGCUGCGGUGUGGGCGCGUGGAGCAGAAAUUCUCCCUUCGGAGUAGGGCAGCGCGUGCAGCCUUCUCGGCUCUCCUCGUGUUUAGCUCAUGUUGAUUUAAUCCAGACCAGGGCUGCCUGGCUGAUUCUAAAGCCCCAUCUCCCCACCAUGGUCUGACAUACAGAAUGCAAACCUGCUCGUCGUUCUUUUGUGCUUGAAAAGCUGGGGGGCCUAGUGCUGUCUUCGCCUGAAUGCCUGCGGUGGCCUCGUGGCCACGCAAGGGAGGCGCUCUUCAUCCCGGGUCCCCCGCGUGUGCCCCCACGGCGCCGGCUGCUUCAGUGCUGUCUCACAGACAGGAUCAGGGGAGCGGGGCAAGGCGGGGUUAAUUGAUUCUUUCUUCGGUGCUGGUAGACAGAAAGAGUUUUUAGAAAGUUUGAGAAGGCAUUGGGGGAGCUGGACACAUGGGAAGCAGAGAUUCUCACUGGGAACAGUCGAACUGUCUGCUCUGACAUCUUUCUGUGAUUUGGUCCCUUCUGUUCCUCCCCAGCCAUCAGGAGCACUUUGUACGACAUUGUUUCUCCUAGCGGCGUGGAAGGGUAGGUGGGACUGUGUCCACAUGAGCACGUGAGGGGCACAGGUCAGCCUCUCUGUGGCCGGUCCAGCCCCGGUUCUCGGCAGGGCUGGGGGUGUCCUGGAUGUGAGGGGGUGGCAGCGCCUGGCAGGUGACAGGCCACUGCCUAGAGCCUGGACACCACAUGUCCUGGACAGCUGCAGAGACCGUCCUAGCUCAGUGGUGCUGGAGAGGAAGGCACUGGGGGGCAGGGGGGCUUCCCCCUCUUGCAGGUUCCCAGCCUCUUCAUGGCCCAUCCUGGACAUUGGCCGGCACCUCUGUGGGGAUCAGACUCACACAGCCUGGCGGCCCUGGCUGAUGUAGACGUGCCUUUCUUUGCCCUUGGCUGGGCUUUCCCUGAGCUCUCCGAGAGGCCGCAGGACUUGGUGCGGGAGAACCACCAGCUGGGGUGUUUGUGUCGUAGGUUUCCUCUGUCUUCUGAUCCUACGUGGCCCCUGUUACGUGAGGAUUUGGAGACCAGUUUGCGUGGGUACAGCCUCAGCAGUCGUAGCUCCUAAGGAGGUGGCAUUUGGAACCCUUUCCUAGUCGGUUUCGGGGGACGCUGGGCUGUGUGUGUCAUUCUAAGGGAGGAGUCUGCUCUGGCCGAGGGAUGUUAUUUCAGACAUCAGGACUGUCUGUGAGGAGAAAAGAGCAACUAAUGUCUUUCUUGACUUGGUUAAACUGCCUGAAAGAAUAUCAUUUUAGCAUUUCUCAACAAUUUCCAGUUCUGAAAUAUUUGGGCUUCCCCUGGGGGAUGGGCAGGGGCAGGGGCUGGGUGAGCCACGGGCAGAGACAGCUCUGUGUGCCGACCAUGCCACCUCUGCAGGAGGAAUGUCAGUGGGGUUUGUUGGCCUGGCCUGGUCGUCCUUGAUGGUGGGGCCAUGCUGCCUCGGACCAGGCCCUGGCCCUUCAGAAAGGCCCCUGGCUUUGGUUUUUGUUUCCAGGCCAGCGCCUGCUUCGUGGUUUCUAAGAGGGCAGCACGGUGGCAGAUGGGUAGGUGAUCUUGUUCUUUCUCCCUGGAGGGGCCUCCACUGUGGCACUGGGGGUAGGCUUCCAAGUAGGGCCGUCCUGUAUUUACAGUCAAAACCAGACCCUUCUACAACAGAAAGGGGGUAGACAUUCAGUAUCACCUGGGCCUGGCCUGCCACACCUGGUUGGAUGGUCAUCCUCAUUCUUACCUGGAGGAGUUUGGGUCCAAGAGGGCAGCCAGUGUUCACCUGGACAGGAGCAGACAGGUAGCCCAUGCAUGAGUUCCUAUAUUCAUUUGAGACAUUGCUUGAAAUCACUAACCAAGAUAACAUCUUUACCAUUGUUUUCUACAAAGCCAGGUUCUGUAUUUUCUGAUUUUAUGUAAACUAAAACACAGUUUUCACAGAUUUUUGUUAAAUACAGGUUUCCUAUGCCUUCACAAUUUUUUGGGAAACCUUUCAAGUCAAUUCUACACACUUGUUCUUGUUGGAAACAAAAAUCUCUAUCACUGGGAAGCUGAAACCAAGCUCGGGUAGACUCUCGGCGUGGGGCAUGAGCUGCGAGGCACGGGCCAUGCCUUGUGUGGCCCAAGAAUCCUGCUCCAGAACCUUCCACCUGUGGCUUUUGAAAUGUUCUCUGUGGCUGCGUCUCUUUUGCCUUGGAUGCUUAGGGAAUCUUCUGGAUUGACUGAGCUGAGAAGCUCAUUGAAUAUGGUGGUCUCUCUCUGGGAGUAGGUAGCUCGAAGUCCAUACACAUCCCGUGGCGACUGCAGCACAUUUAGAAAGCUGCCCAAGAGAAAGGACAGGUGUCCGCUUGCUCACAUUUUUAUGCAGUGAUAGGUGAAUUUUGAACAUCAGCUUCUAGUUCUGGAUUUACAAGACAAGCGUGAGUAGACUUUGGAUGGGAUAGUUACUCAGCAGCGCUAGGCCAGGCUGUCCAGUGUCUGCACUUGGGGCAGGGUGCUGUGAGCUGAGGAUCAGACCCAGGUUGGAAUCACAAAGAUUUCAGUGCACUCUGCCCAGGUUGGAAAAGGCUUCCCGUAGAAAGAGUUUCAGGUACCUCUUGAGUGAAGGGAAGCAGGGGCCCAGGUUAGGCUCAGGUCAGAGGAGAGGGUGACAGGGGAGGCUGCCUGGCCGCGUGCAGGGAGGGGAGGGAGGGGAGGAGGAGAGGCAGCAGGCCUCAGCUUUGGGCUUCAAGGGAGGAGCUCUGGAAGGUUGCAGAGCAGUUCUCUUGGGGACGGAGGUGGGACGGAUGCGGCUGGUGGCCUGGAGCACCCAUCUGAGCACAGAGAUUUCCCUCUGCUCUUUCUGGAAUCCUCUCUUGUCUGUGAGCAGCCUGGCGCCGGCUGGUGGGUGGGGCUGAGCCGCACCUUCCUUCAGGGCCAUCCCUGAGUGCCAGCCUCUGCUCAGACCCAUUUCUGGAUCUUUCUCUAAGCCGGGCCCCUGGGAUUAGACAUCAGAGGGGUUCCCUCCCCUUUCUCAUUUCCUUUUCCCUCCGCUGGGAUAGCAGUGUACAAAACCGAGCCAGCUUUCCUUGUCCUUGUUCGGCCCUUGUCCCAAGCCCGGGCUGGGUCCAGGCUGUGAUGGCUCCCGCGGGGCCGGGUCUGCAGUCAUCGGCCCGAACGGUCGUCGUGGCGGCUCGCACCGUUCCUGGAAAGCAUGCUCACAUGCAGCCGGGGCCACGGGGGUGCAGCCUGGCUCUUCCGUCGCCGUUGGUCUGUAGGGAGCGGGAGCUGGCUCUGGGCGGUGCGGGCCCUGUUCAUUCAUCCUUCUUGCUGGAUGCCUGUCGGGAGCUCAGGAGGGGACAGGAGCGACAGCCCGGGCUGCGACUGCCUGACGGGCUCGCUCACUUGUCGCCACAAGGCCUGAUGAAGAUGGAAGCCUUUGAUCCUUGCUCCUUUUCUGCCAAAUUUAGGUCUUGCUUUGUUGCCUCGCUUGCGUCCUGAUUUCCUCCUGUGAUCCAAGAGGUAAGUGGCUUCAGGUGGGGUUUUCUGUUGACAGAGAAGCUCUGCGCCAUGGGUGCCCUUGCGGGCCGUGGGGGUCCGUGCGUGUCCGUGCAUGUACGUGGGAGUCCGUGGGGGUCCGUGGGGGUCCGUGUGUGUACGUGGGGGUCCGUGGGCAUCCAUGGGGGUCUGUGCAUGUACUUGUGGGUCCGUGGGCGUCCGUGCGGGUCCGUGGGCAUUCGUGGGGGUCUGUGCAUGUACGUGGGGGUCCGUGCGGGUCUGUGGGGGUCCGUGCGGGUCCGUGGGGGUCCGUGCCGCCGCCUGCUCCCUGCAGCCCGAGUGUGCAUCGCGCGGGCGGCUGAGGCCCAGCCACCUGGUGCCGUGGUCUUCAGAGGCCGGCCAUUUGUGUGGCAGCCAGCGGCUGUUCGGGGCCAC